rnacentral:misc_RNA from 1 species
UAUUCAUACUUCGUAUACGCCCUGACUUUUCAAAUAAUUUUAAUUUAUUUCUUCCUUUGGAUAAUGUCAAACAACAUUUAAGAACAAUAAGUAAUCGUGAAAUUUUUUUAACAUCAAUCGUUCUCCAAUUUUUUUCUCAAUAACUCCUUUUUUUUGUUAAUAAUUUAGUGAAUAACAAAAAUUGUCAAUCUUCGUGUUGAAAUAACAGGUAACUGAAAAACAAGUCCAAAAUGUCAAAAAAACCUGGAGCAACCCAAGCCCUCCAUAAAGUUAUUAUGGUAGGUAGCGGAGGAGUAGGAAAAUCUGCGCUCACAUUACAAUUUAUGUACGACGAGUUUGUUGAAGAUUAUGAACCAACAAAAGCGGACUCGUACAGGAGAAAAGUUGUUUUGGACGGAGAAGAAGUACAAAUAGAUAUUUUAGAUACAGCAGGUCAGGAGGACUAUGCAGCGAUUAGGGACAAUUAUUUUCGUAGCGGAGAGGGUUUCCUGUGUGUAUUUUCAAUAACGGAAGACGACAGUUUUCAAGCGACGCAAGAAUUCAGAGAACAAAUUCUAAGAGUAAAGAACGACGAAAACAUUCCCUUUUUAUUAGUGGGCAAUAAGAGUGAUCUUCAGGAGAAGAGAAAAGUUAGUCUCGCUGAAGCACAAGCAAGGUCACAACAAUGGGGUGUACCUUAUGUUGAAACAAGUGCUAAAACCAAGGAAAAUGUCGACAAGGUAUUUUUCGACUUAAUGCGUGCAAUAGCAGCGCGCAAGGCACAGGAAAAUCAGAGCGAUGGAGCCGAGCGCAAGAUUAAAACGAGCUGUUGCGUCCUUCUCUAACGAACAUAAUAAGAAGGAGAGAAGGAAGGACCGAGAGACAGGCUAUAGCUUUUAUAUAAACGAGAACAGACAAAAGAAAUGAUAAAAAGCUGAAUUGACACAUUUUUCCGUACCAAUUACCUUCAGAGAUAAAAUUCGAGGGACCGUCUACUUAAUAAUAUAUAUUAAAAAAAUCAUUCAAAAUACACGAUUGCGCGAGCUUUUUUUACUCUGCUAACUCGAAGCUCGUUUCCAGAAAAAAAAGUGAUUGGUUUCUCUGUUGCUCGGAGCGCUGGUGAAAACGUUAUUUUUUUUUAUUCUAUAUCGCUUGUUAUCAGCUUGUUAUCCAACGAGUUGGCCUCCGUUAAUUCGGUGCUACAUUAAAACAUUUUAAUUGAUGUCGAUUAUCUAUAGUUCCUAUAAUUGUGCGCCCACCGUUUUCGGUUUUGCACGGGGAAUAUGAAGAAAAUUAUAAAAGCAAAGAAAUGGUGAAAGAAAGAAUUCGCACAAUAAUUGUGACGGGACGACGGUUUCGAAAAGCCUGAAUAAAAUUUUUCCUUACUCACGCAUCAAAUUUAGUUCUCACGACACCACAUUCACGCUUCAGAAUUCAUUUUUAUUUAAGUCGCUUUAUCGUUCGAAAUAUUCUUUAUUUUUUACUCGUGACGAAAAAUGUAAUUUAAUUUCUAUAUUUAUCGGAAAAGAGGUGAUAAUAAAAUGUAUUUAAGAAAAAAAGAUGAAAAUAUUGAAAAGGAUUUUUGUGCCUUCACCAUUUUUCAGCUCACAAUCGAUCAAGAUUUUUCUUUUCCAUUAUAAAGUUGUCUCUGCACUGUAAAGAUAAGAAAAUCAAAGAAAAGACUCGGCAAACAAUAUCCUCGUUGACAUUUCAGCCCGACAAUUUAUGAACGACUCGGUUCUUUUUCAACAGCUUCGUUCGAAAUUUGACGCUAUUAUUUUUAAUCGCCAUGAUAAUAAAAUUUAUCAUGCUUUUUUUUUGUAGCUAACGUACGCAGAAGAGCAAAAGUUUUUCACAAUCGUUAAUACGCUGUUCUUCGAUAAGACUUAGCACCUCCGUGAGGUCGCAUAAAAAGAAAAGCUAAAUUAUAUAUUAAAUUCAAGCAUGAAUAUCGAUGUUUUAAGAAAUAAUAAGAAUAAUAAAAGAGGAGGGAGAGAACGUUUCGAAUAACGAAAGUUCAGUUAAUGUCGUCUCUUCGACCACUCAUCGGGCAAUUCUUUUUUUCAUUUUCUCGUUUUAUAUUUUUGUACCGUUGCAGCUGAUCGUGCCUUGUUCCAUACGUCACGUAUCGCCGAGAUGAAUUAUAUUUUUAGUUAGAUGUAAUCAUCCUUCUCAAAAAAGUCUAAUCAAUCAUUUUCUCGAAAAAUUACGACCAAUUUGUCAAAUUAAUUGGUUGUAUGAUACAAAAAAUGAAGAAAAAGUGACGUUCGUCAAGAAGAAAUUUCACGAGUUUUCAUUGCGUGGAAAGUAAUUUCCAACGAGUUCACAAGCAAACUAUGUCCAUUUUUCAGUCUAGAAUAAAUUCACGCCAUCGAUGAAUAGUUUUCUACCUGUACAUUGACAUUUCAUUCUUGACACCUUGUAUGAAAAUAAAGCAAUGAAAAAAAUACAAUUUUACAAAAUGAUGGAAAUAAGGGAAUACGAAAAUAAUUUAUUACAGUCUGUAAACAAUGACAUCGUGAUUCUAAAGUUAAGUAGCAACGAGAUUGAAGCUGCAGCUGACAUUCAUUUUUAUCUGAUCUAUAUUUCGUUACAUAAAAUUAAUUUAAUCUCGGAUUUACGCAUAAGUCAAUUUCACUUGAGUUUCGUUUAGUGUACAACUUUGGAAUCGUAUAUCUUAAUUUCAUACUGAAAUAAAACACAAACUGUCAUGAAAAAUUUCGACGCUAACGGUAAUUACAAUUUAAAAGAUAAAAAUAAUUCUAAUGGCAUUUAUUUGAGUGAUGAGUUGUUCGAAAGAUCGUUUAUAACCGAAAAUCGGAUAUAAGGAAAAAGUAUAUUUUUUAGGAGCUCGUUGAAAAAUUGUAAAAGAAAUAUUUAUUUAUCAAUAUCGCCUGAUUAUUAAUCAACCUUCGGGCAGUGAAUAAAUGAAUUUUCGAAGUAAA